rnacentral:rRNA from 1 species
CGGAGUUAGCCGAUGCUUAUUCCUCAGGUACCGUCAUUUUUUCUUCCCUGAGAAAAGAGGUUUACAAUCCAAGAACCUUCCUCCCUCACGCGGUAUUGCUCCGUCAGGCUUUCGCCCAUUGCGGAAAAUUCCC